UUGCCAAUUUUGUCAAUUUUUCAUUUGUUUCACCAACUCUGAGAGUUCCCUAUCUAGCUUGUGCCGGCGGGGUUUGGAAUUCUUACCUCAGCUGGACAAAUUCGAAAUCCAAUGAAAUAAGAGAAGAGAAAGGUAAAUGAAACGUAAGAAAUAGUUUCUUGU
rnacentral:ribozyme from 17 species